GUUUGUUGGCAGCUACCUCUCCAAGAGAUCUCUUAGAAGUAAGAGAUUUUAUGGAACUAGGAAGAAGACACCUCAUAGGUUCAGGUUCAGUCCUGCGGCAGCUCUGCUCUGAAUAACUUGUCAUGUGCUUGAGAGUUUAAUCUAAGUCUUUGAUAGUAUACUUUUCUCCAAUGGAUGAAAGAUUCCCGGGAGUGUUAGAAACAACUGAGCUGAAGGAUUAUGGAUCCAGAUGGGGGUUUUGCCACAUUGGCCAGGCUGAUCUCAAACUCCUGACCUCAAGUGAUCUGCCCGCCUCGCCUCCCAAAUUGUUAGGAUUACAGCCAUUUCAGCUUGAUUAAGAACUGUUGCUGGGAACUACUGUGAUCAUUUGGAGAUGGGCAAAUUCAAGUACAUGGCUGCUAAAUAUGUUCUCCAUGAUUUUCUUCAUGUAAGUAUUACAAAAAAGUAAAACAGGAUCUCAUUUUGCUGAAUAUUAGAUGGAUAGUUUUGGGCAAAUUAAUUGCUAUAUUGAUGCCUGUUUUUAUAUUUGUCAAACUGGCAUAAUAAUUGCCCAUAUGUUGUAAGAUUGCCAUGACAAUCAAAUGAGAUAAGAUAAAAACAUUUAUUAAUUGAUGUCAUUGGCAAUCAGCAUGUAGUAGCUGCCAGAACAAAUGGUAGUUAUUUUUAUAUUAUUACCAAUAUUGUUGUUAUCUGAAUAUUUUAGCAUGUUUUCUUGAAGAGUAGCAACCCUAAAAUAUUGAUAUGGAUAUAACAAACAUCAGAGAUGAUCAGUUAUGGGGUCAAGGGGAGGGAGAAAAUUAUGCUGGGUUUUUUUUUAGGGUAUGGUAAUAGAAUGUUAUAAAAUGAGAACAUUAUAUUUCCAAGCAUAGGAAUGUGUGGAAAAUUUUGUAAGAGGCUCACCCAUCAUGGUUAUCUCUCCCUUUCACUGUCUGUGAGUUAUUUUAUAACCCAGCAGGUCAUUAGAAGAUGAUAAUAAUACAAACAAUUUUUGUUCAUGGUGGGGUGGACAGAAUAUGCCAUCCCAAGAUGUGAAAGAUGGCUGAACUGAAAACAAUUAAGAAGACACAGAUAUAGGAAAGCUCUCUGUACUCCAUCUAUUUGCCUAAAAGCAGAGCAUAGAUUUACAAGGGCAACCCCCUCACUCACCCCACCUUAUACCAAGGAGAAAAAGGUUAAUCGCCAAAGACAGCUUUACAUCUUUAUCGGUCUGGAGAUGGUCCCAGAGGGAAUCUACAUUAAGAAGCUCUACUAACUAACAUUUUUCUGCCAGUUAUUUGCCUUCUUCCAAGUUGCAGUCCUUAAAGGCUCAAAGUCCUUUUCCUUCGGUUACUUCUCUGAAACUUUAUUGCUCUUUGUUGAAGAUGCUACAUUAGCUAGAUUUCAAGCCUCUUUGAGAACUACUGAUCCCGAGU
rnacentral:lncRNA from 1 species